GACAGAAGAAUUGGAUACGCUCGGGAGCCUACACGCCCAGAUGAUGUAUAUAGAUGUAAUAUAACAGAGUUUCGGGACAGAGGGAUUGGAUACGAACGGCAGCCUUCCCUUCCCUUUUACGUGUAUAAGAACACAACCUACACGCCAGUCGGGCUGGUUCCGAAGGUAACCGCCCUAGCUGUAAUUCCACCUGCACCGGAAGUAGUACCGCUAUGGUGCAAUCCUUUUUUCGUGUCGUUUGUCGUCAUGGCGACCAUGGUCACGGUAGCUGUUUU